GUUGAACCAGGAAACACAACACGGAGCACAAGGCUGGAGUCUCACAAACACCUGGGGCUGAGAGACUGAUUGCAUCGCAGACUGUCCCAUUUCGAAGGCUCCUUCACUUGGCUGACGAAUGCAUCCUUACGUCGCCUGAGCAACGACAGCCCCGACACGUGGAUCCUUCACCGGCAAGCGACAUCCAAUGCUGGAGUAUCACGCUUCAACUCAACCAAACAGCCCAUCUCUGAUGUGCCGACCUGCAGUUCAGACUCGGCCCUGGUGGAGGAGGAGGAGGAGAGAGAAGACCUUUGAAGUUAGACGGAUUCUCGUCAGCCGCAGAGCUUUAACAAAGUAGCGGCUCAAAGCUCUGAGAUUGAAAGUGACGGCAGGCUUGGAUUGAUCGUUAUCAUCAGACAGAACAGGAAGAUGGAUGACAUGACAGCCGCUGCUGAAGUGAAACCAAAGCAUCUCAAUCACCACCUUGUGACCGGCUGCAGUACAAGUCAUAAACCCUGCCUCCUCCAUGAUCGUGGAUAGGACAUGGACUGAAC